AACUGGGACUGUUUCAGAUAGAGAAGGGCCUGGAGCAGCAGCCAUGUGUGUGGCUUUGUGUUUGUUCCUGACUUAGUAUCUGUAAGGUGAUAGAGUCUGGAAAGAGCAGGCUUUAGUACGUGUAACAGAGUCAAGGCUUGUUGGAUGAGGCUGCCUUCACAUGCAGCAGAGCUCCUCUGAACCCUGAGUAAGAAGAAAACAGAAGUUGCUGUGUUACCAGAGUGUGGCUUCCAGCAAUUUAUGUGUGAUUUUAGCUGCUGUUCUUAGAGGAAAUAUUCUUCCUGCUACAAAAAGUUGGAAUGCAUGGCCAUCCCUGCGGCGUGAGCCAUGUUUAUGACAAGCUUUCAGAAAGAUAAUAUUUCACAUUGUACUGAGAAUUAUACUGCUGUGUGCACCGUGACCCAAGAGUGACAAGGAUGUGAAUCCUGUGCAUUGCUGACCUCGCCUGGGCUGACUCAGACUCUCAAACCUCAGACCUCAUUGCAGAGAACAAUUGCAUCUACAAAGAAAGGCAUCAGACAUCAGAGGAGCAGUGGCAGGUGGUACAAGAUAGAGCAUUCACUGGAAAGCUGUGAAGUGACAGCAUGAGACUGCAGAUGAAAUGGCAACUUCACUCCUCAGAAUAAACAUACGUUGGGACACCCAAGUAGGAGACUAGUUUGGCAUGGGAGGAAGAAAACCUGACUCUAGAAGAGGAGUUCAGACAGGAAGCAGCAAUAUUCCAAGAAGAUUUCCGAGUCAAACAGGAGAGGAACUGGCUUCUCAAAGAGCAUAUUGCAGAGAUUCCCUAAAACAUUCAGCUGCACAGCUGGAGCAGGGCAAGAGCACAGACCUGCUGGCAGUCACCGGAGUAACUCAGGGCAGUGGCUGUGCACAGGGGUGAGGCUGGGUGCUGCCGGGAGCCCGCUGGGCAGAUGGCUGCCAGAGCCUUGUUGGUCAGCCCUGCUGGUUCUUGCUUGUGUUGCCAUUGUGCGGUGAGGUAAGUAGAAGGAGCCGUUCAGAUAUGCUAUCUGUGUGGUGUCUGCUCGCCGUGCCAGGAGGGGAGCUCCCAGCCUUGCAAACAGCAGGCUCGUGGUUGCCUUGAGACUGUGUAUAUUGAGCUGAGAUGACUGAAGAACCAAAGUGGCUCAUGAAGUCGAGGACAGUAGCCUGCAGCGAUGAUGGCAGCAAAGUUUGUUCUCUGAGCAGCAGAAGGAAAACCUGAACUGGGCAAAGAGAGGAUAAAGCCCUCCUGCGCAUCCUUCAGAGGCACCACAAGCAACAGAAGCAGCUUCCUACUGGCCCA